rnacentral:rRNA from 1 species
UACGGGGGGGGUAAGCGUUGUUCGGAAUUAUUGGGCGUAAAGAGCUCGUAGGCGGUUUGUCGCGUCUGCUGUGAAAUCCCGAGGCUCAACCUCGGGCCUGCAGUGGGUACGGGCAGACUGGAGUGCGGUAGGGGAGAAUGGAAUUCCUGGUGUAGCGGUGGAAUGCGCAGAUAUCAGGAAGAACACCUAUGGCGAAAGCAGCUCUCUGGGACGGUACUGACGCUGAGACGCGAAAGCGUGGGGAGCGAACAGG